rnacentral:tRNA from 1 species
AGUUGAAUAGCUCAAAAAGAGCGCUAUGUUGAAGCCGUAGAAGUGGCAAAGUUGCCUUCAGGUG